CUCCUAUAAAGCUCAAUAAAAGUGUCUUCUGAAUUUGCACAGUACAAGGAUUUUUGCUGCUCUGUCUGAGAAGAUAAAGAUUACCAUGCCCAAGCUCAGAGAAGAUAAAGAAUACCUUUCCUGAGACAAAACAAAACACGGCUGUUUGUCCUAGUCCUGAAGAGCUCAUGAUGUACAAAGAUACUGAGGCAGGUCAAGGGAAUUCUUACAGCACAACAGACUAAUGUGAGAAUGUUUGCUUGUGACUGGACGCAUAUGCUCAGUGAAGAUUUUUGAAGUGGAAUGGCUUUUUCCAAAGCAUUCAGCACGCAGCGUGUUCCUGCAACCCCUCAGUGAUGGUCAGCUCUCCUCCUGCAGAUUCCCGUUCAAAUUGCAGCCUGUUAUGGUGCUGGAGGCCCGUGCCCCCAUGUGCUGCAGCUGUUGGUGUGCGGAGGGCCAAGAUGUGAGUUGCUGUGCUGCCUGGUGGGCCUGUUAGCCAGCCCUGCCACAGUUUCCAGCACAGCCCCACAGGCAGGUUACCCCUUCCAUUUCCAAGAAGGAAGGCUAAUACCAAAGGAUCAAGCUAAGUAUCUCACACAGCCGAUGGAUUACCAUGAUGCUCCAAAGCAUCCAGCUACUAAAUGACACAAAGCCGUGAGGUUUCCUCCAGAGACGAAGGCAUUGAGCACCACAUCGAGCUCUUGGGUUGCAGAGACGAGAGGAACACUGUAUCAGGCGUCCAACUCAAACGCUACGUCACCACAGAAAGAGGAUUACACAUAGAGAUUACAGCUCUCAGCGUACCACAUAAAUAUCUAACAGGAGCGUUUCAUAUCAGAAUUAGAACUGCUACUGGAGAAUUCAGCGUGCGGGUAAUUCGAUGA
rnacentral:lncRNA from 1 species